rnacentral:rRNA from 1 species
UACGGGGGGGGCAAGCGUUGUUCGGAAUUACUGGGCGUAAAGGGCUCGUAGGCGGCCAACUAAGUCAGACGUGAAAUCCCUCGGCUUAACCGGGGAACUGCGUCUGAUACUGGAUGGCUUGAGUUUGGGAGAGGGAUGCGGAAUUCCAGGUGUAGCGGUGAAAUGCGUAGAUAUCUGGAGGAACACCGGUGGCGAAGGCGGCAUCCUGGACCAACACUGACGCUGAGGAGCGAAAGCUAGGGGAGCAAACAGG